rnacentral:rRNA from 1 species
AGUGAACGCUGGCGAUAGGCCUAACACAUGCAAGUCGAACGGCAGCACAGUAAGAGCUUGCUCUUACGGGUGGCGAGUGGCGGACGGGUGAGGAAUACAUCGGAAUCUACUUUUUCGUGGGGGAUAACGUAGGGAAACUUACGCUAAUACCGCAUACGACCUACGGGUGAAAGCAGGGGAUCUUCGGACCUUGCGCGAUUGAAUGAGCCGAUGUCGGAUUAGCUAGUUGGCGGGGUAAAGGCCCACCAAGGCGACGAUCCGUAGCUGGUCUGAGAGGAUGAUCAGCCACACUGGAACUGAUACACGGUCCAGACUCCUACGGGAGGCAGCAGUGGGGAAUAUUGGACAAUGGGCGCAAGCCUGAUCCAGCCAUACCGCGUGGGUGAAGAAGGCCUUCGGGUUGUAAAGCCCUUUUGUUGGGAAAGAAAAGCAGCAGGUUAAUACCCCGCUGUUCUGACGGUACCCAAAGAAUAAGCACCGGCUAACUUCGUG